rnacentral:rRNA from 1 species
UACGUAGGGUGCGAGCGUUGUCCGGAAUUAUUGGGCGCAAAGCGCGUGUAGGCGGCUUGGCAAGUCGGGUGUGAAAGCCCUCAGCUCAACUGAGGAAGUGCGCCCGAAACUGCUUUGCUUGAGUGCUGGAGAGGGUCGCGGAAUUCCCCAAGUAGAGGUGAAAUUCGUAGAUAUGGGGAGGAACACCGGUGGCGAAGGCGGCGACCUGGACAGUAACUGACGCUGAGACGCGAAAGCGUGGGUAGCAAACAGG